rnacentral:lncRNA from 1 species
UUACUUUGUCCUUUAGGAUUUGUUGUUUUUCUUGUUUUUAAGAUGAGAUUAUAUGUUUUAUAAUGUUGUUUUUGUUGAGUUAUGUUGUUAUUUUUGUUGAUAUAAGUAAUAGUUUUCGUUAAUGUUGAUGUUUUUGUUGACUAAUAUUGUACUUUUUGUUAAGUUAUGUGUAUGAUUUUGCUGAUACAAUUAAAAGGUUUUUGUUAAUGUUGAUAUUUUAGCUAAGUUAUGUAUUUUUUUUUUGAGAUAAGUAAAUAUGUUAUGUUAUUGUCAAGAUUUUUGUUAGUCUGUG